GACGAACGCUGGCGGCGUGCCUAAUACAUGCAAGUAGAACGCUGAAGGAGGAGCUUGCUUCUCUGGAUGAGUUGCGAACGGGUGAGUAACGCGUAGGUAACCUGCCUGGUAGCGGGGGAUAACUAUUGGAAACGAUAGCUAAUACCGCAUAAGAGUAGAUGUUGCAUGACAUUUGCUUAAAAGGUGCAAUUGCAUCACUACCAGAUGGACCUGCGUUGUAUUAGCUAGUUGGUGGGGUAACGGCUCACCAAGGCGACGAUACAUAGCCGACCUGAGAGGGUGAUCGGCCACACUGGGACUGAGACACGGCCCAGACUGCUACGGGAGGGAGCAGUAGGGAAACGUCAGCAAUGGACGGAAGUCUGACCGAGCAACGCCGCGUGAGUGAAGAAGGUUUUCGGAUCGUAAAGCUCUGUUGUAAGAGAAGAACGAGUGUGAGAGUGGAAAGUUCACACUGUGACGGUAUCUUAACAGAAAGGGACGGCUAACUACGUG
rnacentral:rRNA from 1 species